UACAGAGGUCCCAAGCGUUGUUCGGAUUCACUGGGCGUAAAGGGUGCGCAGGCGGCCGUGUGUGUGAGGCGUGAAAGCCCGGGGCUCAACCCCGGAAUUGCACCUCAAACUACAUGGCUAGAGCAUUGGAGAGGGUAGCGGAAUUCACGGUGUAGCAGUGAAAUGCGUAGAUAUCGUGAGGAACACCAGAGGCGAGGGCGGCUACCUGGACAAUUGCUGACGCUCAGGCACGAAAGCGUGGGGAGCAAAAGGG
rnacentral:rRNA from 1 species